AACGAACGCUGGCGGCAUGCCUAACACAUGCAAGUCGAACGAGACCUUCGGGUCUAGUGGCGCACGGGUGCGUAACGCGUGGGAAUCUGCCCUCUGGUACGGAAUAACUCAGGGAAACUUGAGCUAAUACCGUAUAAUGACUUCGGUCCAAAGAUUUAUCGCCUGAGGAUGAGCCCGCGUAGGAUUAGCUAGUUGGUGAGGUAAAAGCUCACCAAGGCGACGAUCCUUAGCGGUCUGAGAGGAUGAUCAGCCACACUGGGACUGAGACACGGCCCAGACUCCUACGGGAGGCAGCAGUGGGGAAUAUUGGACAAUGGGCGAAAGCCUGAUCCAGCAAUGCCGCGUGAGUGAUGAA
rnacentral:rRNA from 1 species